CAGAAUUUAGCUUAUUUAAAGCUUAUUUUUUACAUUAAUAGGAAAAAUUAAUUAUUUUUUUCUGA
rnacentral:tRNA from 1 species